rnacentral:lncRNA from 8 species
AUGAGCCUGAUAAGCCCAUUUCUCCAAAGAGCUAUGACGUUUCCCAUAUCUUCUUCCUAUAUCUGGCCUCACAUCACAAAUCUGUCUUCCAUGUGUCUGCCUCCUCUCCAUCACUCUUACCACGUCUCACUGAUUCUGCCUCUCCUUCACUCCCUGGCGCUCUCUCAUUUACUCCUUCCCUCUCUCCUUCACUCCUUCCCUCUCUCCUUCACUCCCUGGUGCUCUCUCCUUUACUCCUUCCCUCUCUCCUUCACUCCCUGGUGCUCUCUCCUUUACUCCUUCCCUCUCUCCUUCACUCCCUGGCGCUCUCUCAUUUACUCCUUCCCUCUCUCCUUCACUCCUUCCCUCUCUCCUUCACUCCCUGGCGCUCUCUCAUUUACUCCUUCCCUCUCUCCUUCACUCCUUCCCUCUCUCCUUCACUCCCUGGUGCUCUCUCCUUUACUCCUUCCCUCUCUCCUUCACUCCCUGGUGCUCUCUCCUUUACUCCUUCCCUCUCUCCUUCACUCCCUGCUGCUCUCUCCUUUACUCCUUCCCUCUCUCCUUCACUCCUUGGUGCUCUCUCCUUUACUCCUUCCCUCUCUCCUUCACUCCCUGCUGCUCUCUCCUUUACUCCUUCCCUCUCUCCUUCACUCCUUGGUGCUCUCUCCUUUACUCCUUCCCUCUAUCCUUCACUCCUUCACUCUCUCCAUCACUCCCUGCUGCUCUCUCCUUUACUCCUUCCCUCCCUCCUUCACUCCUUGGUGCUCUCUCCUUUACUCCUUCCCUCUAUCCUUCACUCCUUCCCUCUCUCCUUCACUCCCUGCUGCUCUCUCCUUUACUCCUUCCCUCUCUCCUUCACUCCCUGCUGCUCUCUCCUUUACUCCUUCCCUCUCUCCUUCCCACUCUGCUUCCCUCCCGUGCGUUCUCUCGUUCACUCCCUCGUUCAAUUCCACAUUGCGUGUCUGUACAUGUGCAUGUGUGUGUGAUGAGGUGAUGUGGGGAGCGGAGGACAUCAAAGGACAGUUGACCCUCGGCCCCCAGGGAAAGGGAGGAGAGCUGUCUCUCUAUCUCCACUCGCUUCCUGUGAGGAAAGCCAGAGCAGCCCAGAGAGAGACAAGUGAUGAUGUAGUACACCAUUAG